rnacentral:rRNA from 1 species
AUUGAACGCUGGCGGCAUGCUUUACACAUGCAAGUCGAACGGCAGCGCGGGCUUCGGCCUGGCGGCGAGUGGCGAAUGGGUGAGUAAUGCAUCGGAACGUGCCCAGUAGUGGGGGAUAGCCCGGCGAAAGCCGGAUUAAUACCGCAUACGACCUGAGGGUGAAAGCGGGGGACCGAAAGGCCUCGCGCUAUUGGAGCGGCCGAUGUCGGAUUAGCUAGUUGGUGGGGUAAAGGCUUACCGAGGCGACGAUCCGUAGCUGGUCUGAGAGGACGACCAGCCACACUGGGACUGAGACACGGCCCAGACUCCUACGGGAGGCAGCAGUGGGGAAUUUUGGACAAUGGGGGCAACCCUGAUCCAGCCAUGCCGCGUGCGGGAAGAAGGCCUUCGGGUUGUAAACCGCUUUUGUUCGGGAAGAAAUCCUCUGGGCUAACACCCCGGGGGGAUGACGGUACCGGAAGAAUAAGCACCGGCUAACUACGUG